AGCUCUCUGGGGUGUACGACGAGCUGGAUUUUGUCCUCGAGCCGAUGCUUAUAGAUUAUGGGGGCCACUCCCUGGUGAUGUGUGCAAGUCCUCCUUUGCAGGGGAAAGCCUGAUUCACCAAAUGGGCCUCCACCUUGAACCAGUGGGUUCAGGGCUACGUCCAGCGACGGCACCUCGGAGGGUUU
rnacentral:other from 1 species